UCUAUAUAAAUCCAUAUAUAUAGUUGACAAAUAAAUUCUAUAAACAUUAACCACCUCAAUGGUGCUUGGAUAAUAUAUCAGGAAUAUUUUUUAGUAAGAUAUAUGAUAAUAUAGCUAAUAAUAUGAAAAUGACUGUUUGACCCAUGUGGGUUUAGUGCUCCUCAAUAUUAUCUAUGGUAAAUGCUGUAUGACCCAUAGGCCUCUAGAGAGGCUUUUUUUUUUUAAAUAAUCUAUGGUGAAAAUUGGCUCAAACGGGUUAACUACCUGGUCACGAUGGGCAGCUGGCAAAAGAUGGAGUAACGCUGGGUCGUAUGAGGUCACAAUCAUCAUGUUAGUGAGAAUAUCACACUGAAGAAGAUCCACGAAGAUCAUGUACGGGACAAGAAGGUUUCACCAAGGCCUCCUGUUGCUUGCCUGUUAACAGACAACGUGGGCAGGAGAGGGAUGGUGGUGUGGCUACAGUGGGUCUGACAGUGGUGGAGCGCUUGCAGUGGUUAGUGGCAAGCAGUGGAUAGCAGCAAGCAGUGGGUAGCAGCAAGCAGUGGAUAGCAGCAAGCAGUGGACAGCAGCAAGCAGUGGAUAGCAGCAAGAGGUGGAUAGCAGCAAGCAGUGGGUCGCAGCAAGCAGUGGGUAGCAGCAAGUAGUGGAUAGCAGCAAGUAGUGGAUAGCAGCAAGCAGUGGGUAGCAGCAGGCAGUGGGUAGCAGCAAGCAGUGGGACUGCACUGAGCACACAAGAGAAUGGGAAGUGCUUCAUCAAAGUUCAAGAAAUAUCUUCAACAUGGCGAUGAAUUUGCUGCUAUGCAGGUGUUUCAGAGUUCUCCUGAACUGCGAUCCAACCUUGAUCCCAGUGCUAGCUACGGUGACUCUCAUGGCCACAACACUCCCCUACACUAUGCUGCCAAACAUGGAAUGAAGCAUUUACUAAGGACCUUUCUCUGUGAUCUUGGGGGUAAUCCAAACAAGAAGAAUGGUGACGACGAAAGUUCCGUUCACUGUGUAUGUCGCGUUGGCCAGGCCAAAUCACCUUCGGCAGAGGACAGACGUGCUGCGUGUGUCAUCAUGAUCCUUCAGUGGCGGGGACCAGUACUACAGGACGGGGAGAAGGAAAGAGCUCAGUUGAAUGCUCAGGAUAAGAAAGGGAACACGGCUCUUCAUUACGCGUCAGCUUCAGGACUACGCAAGUGCGUGGAGCUUCUCGUUGCUCAGGGAGCCGGCCUCUUCAUUGAAAACCGUGACAGGUUAACACCAUGCGAUGUGGCAGUCAGAGCUGCACAUCAUGAUGUUGCUACUUACCUGGAGUCCCGCAUGGUCUUCGCUGACAGUAGUGAUGGUGUGAACGAGGGAGAGCUGGUGGGUAACGAAGUCGAGACUGAUUGUGACAAUGAAGUAUAUUCUGGUCUGCGAGCGCAAGACUUGCAAGAAGCAAAGGACCAGUUGCUUGUUGAAACUGCAGAUAUGUUGCAUAUUCCUCUCUUUACUGCCGAGGCUUUACUCAGAGAUAAUGAAUGGUCUAAGGCGUUGCUCUUGGAAAAAUGGAUGACAAAUGCUGUUCAGUGUUGUGAGGCGGCAGGUAUAGCGCCUCCAGCGUCUGCUCUCCAGCUUGUGGCUCCGACUUCGUCAGUGGUGGUUUCAUCUCUACCUAACUCAGUUAUCACACCUCCUCCACUAGCUCGCAUUGCAGGGGACAGCAUAGACCAGGAUCAUGAUGUGGAAGUAGAGGGACAGAACCUGUGUUCAAUAUGUUACGGAGAGAUGCGAGCAUGGGAGCUUGAAGAACACGGAGGAACAAGCUGUGAACACCAAUUCUGUGCUACAUGCUGGGAGAGCUACCUCACCCUCAAGAUACAAGAGGGUGGGGCACACCACAUACUGUGCCCGGCUGUACGAUGCAAUAUUCUGGUCGAUGUGGACUUUAUUGAGAAGAUGGUCAGUCCUGAAAUUGCCAGGAAGUAUCUGCAGUUUGAUAUUCAGGCAUUCGUGGAGCGUAACAAGACCAUCAAGUGGUGCCCGCUGCCCGGCUGCGGCAGGGCCGUCAAGUUCCCCGAGGCUGAACUGGAAACACAACCCUUUUAUUUCCCCAACACUAAGCCGCCCCCGAAGACCUCUCACGCCGUCGACUGCGGCAAUGGCCAUUUUUUUUGCUGGGAGUGUCUUGGUGAGGCUCACUCUCCCUCAGGGUGUGAACAAUGGCUGGAGUGGCAAAGUAAAGUGGCAGAAAUUAAGCCGGAAGAACUCCGCAUCAGCUCCGGUGAGACUGAAGAUGCUGCUAACUUCCUCUGGCUGGUAACCAACUCCAAGCCUUGUCCCAACUGCAAGAGUCCCAUCCAGAAGAAUGAAGGUUGCAACCACAUGAAGUGUUCCAAGUGUAAGUUUGACUUCUGUUGGGUGUGUCUGGAGAGCUGGAAGAAACAUUCGUCAGCUACUGGAGGAUACUUCAGGUGUAACCGUUUUGAUGCUCAGAGUAAAGCUGAUGAGAAGCUGGGAGUGCUCUUGUCUGAGGCGACGGUUCGCAAUCAUCAAAUGCAGGAGCUCAAUCGCUUCAUCCAUUACUAUACACGAUUCAAGAACCAUCAGAAUUCUCUGAAAAUGGAAGAACCUUUGUUGAAGACUGCACGAGACAAGAUGGAAGUGCUGGCUACGUCACUGCCCUCUCAGGAACAACAAGGUCAAGCUGCAGUUGAAAAGGGCACUCGCUUUGUUGAAGAGGGUGUGAAGGAACUGCUGAAGGCACGAAGGGUCCUCUGUGGAUCUUAUGUGUAUGGUUAUUACUUAGAAGAUAACGGCUAUAACAAGACCAUCUUUGAGUACAUGCAGAAUGAACUGGAAGAAGUUACGGAGAAGCUAUCGGAGAUGGUUGCUCGUCAGUACUUGGUGACGCCACGAGGACAGAUCAUCGCUACCACCUUACUGGCACGACGCAGGAGACACAAGUUUGUACGGGCAGUGAGUAGAGGUCUGUUGCCCCCAGAAACUCCGCCUUCAUUUCGUAGAUCACGCAAGAGACGAUUGCCUGGCCUUAUGGGACUGGACCCAGCUGAUGACGUAGUUGAUGGUGAUGGUAGUGGUGAAGGGGAGGGUGAUAUGGAUGUUGUGCUGAUGGUGUACCUUGGUCUUGAAUCCUAACAGUUUGUCUGCUGCUACCAACACUUCCUCUGCUCUGCCUUCUCGAGAUGAACAAAUGGAGAACGUGGAAGUAAUGGGAAGGUCACUGGACCCUUCACAACCAUGGGUCAAGGACUCUCGUGGUCGACACACAAACCUGGCGGCAUUGUUGGACUGGCCGGACCUC